rnacentral:snRNA from 1 species
AGGUGUGUGGCAAUCUGACUGUGACAUUGCUCAUCAGGGUUCAUUUAGUGGAUUUGGCUGGCUAGGUGGGUGCUCCAUUCCUUCUUCAUUGCUCUAUGUGAGUCCAUCCCUAAGCUCUUGGCUUGGUGUGACACAGAGGAUGGCUUUCUUCAACAGAAGAGGACUGUUGAUUAGGGGCAUCUGAGCAUCUACACUCUUUUGGUAGGACCUCCAAAAAAGCUGGCAAGACUAGAGUCCCCUGCUGUGCAUAUCAGAAUCCAUGAAUGAUAUAAGAGUAAGAUCCAUUUUUACUU